AGAGGGAGGAGUUAAGGAGACAGACAGAGAGAGAGAGAGAUCUGAGGAGAAGAGGGAGAACCAAAAUGGAGGCUGACGUGGUGUUAUCAAAGGAUAUGUGCAAGAUGAGAGCCAGCCAUCGUCUCCUGAUAGUGGAGAUUUGAUCUGAAGCAUUCAAAUAGGAAAUGAAUGCUCAGAGGAAGCUUCAAAUUUCUUUCUACUUGAAGAAGCUGAAUUGCAGAAGCUAUCUCUGUCCUGUUAAUCACCGGGUCCACAGUGAAACCAGCCAACUUCAGAGAGUGAGUUAAAAGAGAGACUCUUGUGCUGCGUGACCCCUGACUGUAACCAAGUGUCCUUCUCUCUGAGACGUUCCCUCGGAGCUUGUUCUCACAGCCCUCACCUCCAGUGACCUCCACGAACUUUUCCACACGAGGGGUUCUCUGCUUCCCUCCAUCUGAGCUGCGCAAUUCCACCAGGCCUUUUGCUCCUCUUCAGUCAGGUGCUUUGGAGGUAAUGAAGUCUUUCGGGGGAAAAAUAAACAAAGGAAAUGCACCCGGUUGAUGUCAAUGGACUUGUUUAACUAUUUAAGGCCACUGUCUCCAAGUGUAAGUGUGCUGCGGUGUGUUUUGUAAAGUAGCGCUUAUAAUCCACUGAGCUUUCCAAACAGCCCUCUUGCCUAUUAAGCCUGCAUUGAGAAGUGGGUUUAAUUUGCCAGAGUAGUUUUUUGUGAUAAUUACAGGACUUGCAGAUUAGCUUGAGUGACUUGGCAAGGUUCUGUAGCUAAUAAAAAAUCACACAGGAAAAAAAUUGUAACAUUCAAUUGCUUCAAGGUUCUUCACGAGAGAAACAUUAAACAAACCUGAUAGGCCAGUUUCCAGUCUGUGAAGGGACUUGGAGGCAAGCCGGGAGAGAGGGAGGAGAAAGAGAUCGCCAUGAUGGGGAAGAAGGAAGAGGAGACCUAAAGGCCAGCUGACAUGACUUUGGGUCCCUAACCUGCAACUCAGCACUCAGUCCAUCAUGGGCUUUGCUAGUCUCUGUGACUUCUCCAGGGCAGGAAAGUGACAGGUUUCUGCGCAAGGGAGCCCGAGGUACCUGGUUCAGGAUGGAGAGGGCACUUGAGAGGCGUCAAAAGCAAGCACAGUUAGAGGACAUCAGCGAUGUUAAAACCCCACGAGGGUCAACAGUAGCCCAGGCAAAAUAAAGGAGCCUGAAGUGGAAAAACAGAAAUGGAACAAGACGUUUGUUCUGGAGCACGUGAGAUUGUCCUUCUAAGACAUUUCCAGAAGUAUUCAAAGGAAGAUUUAAUGGGAAAUCAUUAUGCAAAAGAGUCAGUAAUAUAUUUUAGUUUCAAAAAGUACGGAGCGUGACGCCUGUCAAUUAUACCUUCUGCAAAGGUGAGUGGCGGUUGUCCUUGCUGUUCCAAAAUGCAAAGAGAAACAAACAAACAAACAAACAAGCAAACCAGCUACUCCUAUUCCGCACUCCAAACACCAAGCAGAAAUGCUUCUGGGACAAACUGAGCUUCAUUCUUUAUGAAAAUGAAAACACUUCUUUCUGUGCACUAGGAAAAUGUUCUGCCUCUGAGCUGCAAAACCAGCACCAAACUUGAAAAGUUUGUGCAUCAAAGGAAAAAGGCAACCUACAGGAUGGGGGAGAAUAUUUGCAGGACACAUGUCCUGGAAGGAAUACAUAUUUAGACUGAAUAAAAUGAGUAAGAGGAGGGAUAGGGAGUUCGUGUUCAAUGUUGAGAGCUUGGGACAGUUGAGAAAACGCUCCGGAGUGUUCUGCAGAUGAAUGAUGGUGACGACUGCAUCAGUGUGAAUGUCCUUAACGCCGUCAAAAAUUGGUUAUAAUGGCAAAUUUUAUGCUACAUAUGUUUUACUACAAUAAAAAUGCCAGGAAAAUCUAACUGCUCCAAAUCCUGAAUUUAUUAACCCAAUAAAUUAGGAGAUGGUUAUUGACCUAUAAAUGGAUUUGUCAAUUUUUAAAAUGAUUUCCUUUAAAUUGAAUUCUUUCCUAGAGCUUUAUUGUCUCUUCACAAACCAUUAAACACUUGUUAAAGUGUUCAGAGAGGGCUGAGAUGGAGGAGGAAGUGAAAACCAAACAAACAGAUGAGGGACCUUCCCCAAAUGAUGUCUGCUAACAGGCUUCUUGGGUAUUCUAUUUAUAUAGAUUUUACAAGUGUUUUAUUUGAGAGGAAAAAUCCCUAGACCUUACAUAGUACAAUGAACUUCUUAUGCCUGUCAGCUAGAUUUAUUAAUUUUUAACGAGGUGUAUUACUUUUAAAAGCUAUCUAUUUACUAUUGGGGGAGGGAGAAGGACAAAGGACAUCUUGCAGAAGUCUGGUCUCUCCUGCUAUGUGGGUUCUGGAGAUAGGAAAUCAGGCAGGUUGUCAGGCCUAGAAGCAAAGGCCUGUCUGCACUGAGCCAUCUUACUUGUCUUAUUUUGUUACUUUUGAUGACCUAUUUUAGACAUCACUAUUCUAUAGCCCUAAGUAUAACUUCAAGUAUGUAUCUUCCACAAUGACUUUAUGACCAUGAAAUCAAUUCAAGAAAUUUAACAUGUAUGCAGUUCUAUCCAGCGUACAUACAGAUUUCUCAUCCCCCCUUUUACUGUAGUUUAUAGAAAAAGCAAUUCUCUUCCAUAUCUAGAGUUUGACAAGGAAUAUGCAUUGCAUUUGGUUUCUGUGUUCUUUAAUCUCUUGUUGUACAGAACUUCAACCUUUCAUGACAGGUUGAACAAUUUUGGAUCAUACAGGCUGUCAUGGUUUGAAUAUGUUUGGCCCAGGGAGUGGUACUGUUAGGGGUGUGGUCUUCUUGGAAUAGGUGUGUCACCGUGGGCGUGGGCUUUAAGACCCUCAUCCUUAGCUUCUGGAAGUCAGUCUUCCACUAGCAACCUUCAGAUGAAGAUGUAGAACUCUCACCAUCUCCUGCACUAUACCUGCCUGGAUAUCGCCAUGUUCCUGCCUUGAUGAUUAUGGACUGAACCUCUGAACCUGUAAGCCAGCCCCAAUUAAAUUUGUCCUUAUAAGAGUUACCUUGGUCAUGGUGUCUGUUCACAGCAGUAAAACCCUAACUAAGACACAGGCCAAUUACAGAAUGUCUCUUUUUGGUGUGUGCAGUGUUAAAGUUUGAAGCACAAGCCUAAUGCUUGUUAGACAAGCACUCUACCGCUGCUCUACAUCAGCAGCUCAGUGUGCCUCUUGUCUUGAUGGGCUCAUUGUUUUUUAUGACCCAGUGCAUUGGGGUGAGCAGCUCACACAGGUACGAAGGGGUCCCUCUCAGAGCUUAACAUCAGGGAACUCAAUGUUGGUUUGUCUGUUCUAUUUCAGCUGAGCUAGUAUCUGGCAGUUCCCCACAACCCCCAUCAAGUUACCACUUUUUUCUUUGUAAUUGUAAUUUGCAAAGAAAUAUUUGCAAGAUUAAGUAAUAGACUACACAACGUGUUUUAGCUUCCACUGAGCAUUCAGCCUGAACUGUUUUAUAAAGUUAUGAAAUGAUAGAUUUCCAACUUAAUAAUUAUUUUAAAGACUUAUUUUAUUUUUAGUUCUGCAUGUAUGCCUGUGUGUGCACGUGUGUACCUAUGUAUCUGUAUGGUUAUGUGCACAUGAAUGCAGAUGUCCAAGGAGAAGAGGCCAGACACAUUGGAUCCCUGGUGCUCAAGUGGGAGGUGGCUGUCAGCUGCUGUAGGAAGGUGAUGGGAACUCAGCUUGAGUCCUUUGCAAGAACAGCAUGAGCUCUUAAACACAGAGCCACAUCUUCAGUCCCUCUCUUAUUUUUUUAAAAAUUAUUCUCUCUCUGUGUAUGUGUGUGUAUACAGAGGUCAGAGGAUCAUUUUUGUAAAAUUAGUUCUCUCUACCUUUUUUUGUGGGCUCUGGGGACUAAACUCAAGUUGUUGGGAUUUUGUGACAAGUGCUGUAUCCACUGAGCCCUCUCACAUGCCCUUAAAUGUUAUUUUAAAUAAUAGCAAAUGAGUACGUUCAAGCAUACGAGAAUAAGCAUGUCCUAUUGAUUUGAAUAUGCAAAAGUAUGCCAAUUUUUUAAAUCUCUAUUACCAAGUGGACAAGUAUUCCAUUUUAUCUCCAAAAGUAAAGAUUUCUUUUAGAUACAGUCAUGUGGAUUAUACAACUUGACUGAAGCCAUGUCUCCAAGAUACAUACCUAGAGGGUAAAGGGAAUGCUUUAAAGGAGCGUGAUUAUGAAUAUCCAAGCUGAAAAUAAACACUAAUUACUAACAAAAAGGAUUACUGAGAAAAAUAUGGGUUGGUUUUCAGUACUUGACUCUGUAAAGUUAUUUCUUUUCUUAUUUAGUUUUUAUUCAUAAUCAUAAACUUAACUUUGCCAUCCAGCUAGACUUGAAGGGGAAUGAGGAAAAUAUGGAACCCAAAGAACUUGAGCAGAGAUUACAGGGUAUUUCAAGCAGAUGGGGUAGGGAUGCUCUCCUGCGCUACAGAAGGAAUGGUUGGAUGGGUAAAAUGCCUGCAAGUCAAAAGAAAUUAGAGUUAUCCACAGUCGGAAAUGGUCUUGCUGGUCUUUCCAUUCCUGGACCCAAAACACUCCAUGGCUUCCACAAUGUUCAUGCCUUCUUUCACCUUCCCAGACACCACAUGCUUGCCAUCCAGCCACUUAGUCUUGGCAGUGCAGAUAAAAAACUGGGAACCGUUUGUGUUGGUCCAGUAUUUGCCAUGGACAAGAUGCCAGGACCUGUAUGCUUCAGGAUGAAGAUCUCAUCCUCAAAUUUCUCUCCAUAGAUGGAUCUGCCGCCAGUGCCAUUAUGGCAUGUAAAGUCACCACCCUGGCACAUGAAUCCUGGAAUAAUUCUGUGAAAGGAGGAACCCUUCUAGUAAAAUCCUUUCUCUCCAGUGCUCAGAGCAUGAAAGUUUCCCGCUGUCUUUGGAACUUUGUCUGCAAACAGCUGGAAGGAGACUCUUCAAGGGCUCGUCAUCGGCCGUGAUGUCAGAGAACACGGUGGGGUCGACUGUGGCUACAGCAAGAGGACCAACGGUACUGUUGCUCUAGCUACAGGAAUAAUCCUGGGCAGCACUUGUUGACCUUGGUCACUGUCAAGGGAAGAUCGGCUGUUCCCACUGAGGGCAUCUUGAUGGAUUAAGGUGAUCAGCUGAUCAAUGUGAGGGGACAGAUGGGAGCUAGGAACUGUCUCGGUACUGAGUCAUUUUUCAUCUAAUGUGCAAGAAACCCAAAGAGCACAUCAAACAGCGAACUACGCCUAAGCUAUCCAUGUUUCUCCUGCUUCUUCUGAGAGGGUGAUUUACACGUAGCUCAACACUCGAGUGUUGCAGUAUCGAGUGACUGCAACCAAACAAUGGAACAUGCAUCGUGCCUGUUGACAGAGCCUGCAGUUGGCUUGGAACCGGGACCAUGCUGCAUUCGACAUCGUUCCUGGUGGCUGACUUGUUCCCAUAGAAUUAAAUGCUAGGCAUCCAGAAGCUGACUGUGCAUCUGAUGGGCUCACUAACAUUCAGGAACAGGUUGGCCUCAGACUUCAUCAAUGGAAAG
rnacentral:lncRNA from 1 species